UGGGAGGGCAUCUACUUGUAAUUGGGCUGUGCCCUAAGCCGCCGUGUUCCGGCUGGCACAAACCCUAGCUAUUUUCCCCCCUGCAAUUCCUCUGCAAUCCAUUCCAAUUCGGACAACUUCUUGUGUUUUUAUGGUGGAGAAUGCUUACAAUCAUCGACGAUUCUAGCUAGGCCCUGUCACCGUCGCCGGCCCUCCCCCUCAUCCACGGCCCACCACACAUCCUGGAAUGCUAUGGUGAUGCAGCUGGGGCAGGCAUCGAUGACGCCAUCACCGCGGCACACCACGAUGCCGUAUAUGCAGUCUUGGUCAGUUCGUGUGGAUGAGGCGCUAGUGAAUAGAGCAGUAGAUAGGAGCUCAAGGUUUGCUUUGUAGGUGCUCUCAUUCAUGUGGGUGUCUCUGUAGUAGCAGAUCUACGUUAGUGGAUUGACGACAGCGACGAAUGGCUCGAAGCCGAGAAUAAGCAGCAAGACGAUGAUCAUGGCACUGCCUAACCAUAGGCCGUGGAAUCAAAUUUCGUGGAAUACAAUAGUGCGGCCGUCCAGGCAUCAGCCUGUGUAAUGGCUACAAGCAAUGCAAGACAAGGGGAGAGAACAAUAACAAAUCCAGUAUGAUGCUGACAUUUGUCAAGACAUUGAAAACCUGAGAUGCCAGCACUGCUUGUUUGUAUAGAUGCUCAAGAAGACUGCUCAAAGGAGGACAGUUUGUAGGACAGUUUGUGUGACAAUGCGAGCACUACCUGUUUGUAUAAAUGCUGAAGGAGAAAACUGUUCAGAGAAGGACAUGUGUGUGUGAGAGAGAGGGAAGGAGAAACAGGGGCCAGGAGUAAGAGGUGAAGAGCAAGGAGAACCACAUGUUGUCCCUUUGUCAUCGACCCCAUCCCGCCGUUGCAGGCUUGUCCCGGUGGCCUUUCGCUUGGUGAGCUGUUACCCUGCCCUAGUUCUUUGUCUCUGCCUCUUUCAUGGUUUCUUCCUUUCGAAGAUUUCUUUUUUAUCUCCCUUCUAAAGGUAAGUUCUGGCUUAGCAUCCUUCAUGUUGUAACACAAACAAAAUAUUAGUGAUCUGGCAGCAACACCAUUUUAUGUUGAGUUAUCUAAUUUAGAUGAUUGCUACUAUACAACUCGACUGCCAAAUUAUGUAGCUUUUUCUACUUGAUAAAUAAAGAACCAGGUCACACCAUUUUCUUUACUUUAUUAUUCGGAUUAUAUGCAAGAGUUUUGGUGUGGAUUAUAGAUUCUACAGUUACUCUUAGCUUGUCAGCUUUGUUGAUCCUAAUUUACGAUGUUCACCAAGGAUUAUAGACCAUGGUACCUUCAUCUGUUGUCGACAGUUUCCUCUUUCAUAUUUGAUGUUAGUUUGUACAAGCUACUGGGUUGUGCUUAGAUGGUAUGGUUUCUCUGCUAUUUAGAAACUACACUUAACACUCAUAAAGUACAAUGAUUGGAUCCUAAACUGAAAUAUUUAUUUUGGCGGCUUUAAAAUUUGAUGUGGGAUGGGCAUACGAGUUUGAUGUUUGCAGUCCUCUCUGAGCUUCAAGUUGCUCGACAACACGACAAAUUCAGUUAUAGAUUUUUACCAAAGCUAACUGAAAUAAAGUUCAGUUCAGCAGACUAUGUCUGUUGGAAGGAAGCAAAUUUCUUGCCUUCUGAAUCCUACGUAGCCAUCAUAUUUUAUUUCAGACUGAAUCGUCCCAGCUCAGUGUAUCCUUGCUAAAAUAAGAACAUCAUUUUUUAGGGGAUGCCACAAAAUAAAAAACUGACCAGGACUGCAUCUCUCAUAUUUUCUUGCUUAGAUUGUUAAUCUGAAUUCGUGUUUGAUAUUGUAGUAUGGAGGUUUCACAAUGAUGCAUGUUCCGUUGUCGUUUGUUUUCCAACUGCUUUGAUAUUAAUUUACAAGAUAGUAAGUUUUAUAUGUGUGGUUGGAUGUCAAUCUUUACAGUUUGAUGACUAGAUUUAUCCAAGGAAGAAAAACUGAUAUUAGUAAUUAUGUGUCAUAUAUAGAUGCAGAUCCGAGUUGCCAUAAUGGAAUAUGGAUGGACAACACAAAAUAGCCCAGUUCCUUAAUUUUGUGUUUGAUGGAAGUAUAUGGUUCAACUUGUAUUGUCCAACAUAAAUUGACACAAACCUGUGCGCGUUUACUCUGAACGGUAAUGUAGUGCAUGAAUGCUACACACUCUCAAUCGCUCCUUUUCCAUGUUGGCAUCCUACUUCGUUUAAUCAUGAUGAUUUUGCUCGCAGAUAACAAUAGUCUUGCAAGCUUGAUCCCCAUCAUAAAUCGAAUACUCUUGGGAUGCAUUUUGAUUUAACUUAUUUCUUUCUUUGGAUUCAUUUAUGUAUCAUUGUUUGUUUCCAAGUGGUUGUCACUCGGGUUUCUGAUAACUGUAGUGUGGGUCUUGCCAGAGUGGUGUAAGGUGGUGUUGUUAUGGAACUUUGCAGCUGCUCCUAGAUCGAUUCAACCUCCAUCUGAAUGUUUUAGUUCAUCUAUGCUUUUGAAAUUUUUCUACAGAAUAGUGAGGUUAUAGUUAUUCCCAAACGCCUUGUGGAGAGUAUUCUUAAUUGUAUUCGCUGCUUCGGGUGCUUGUCUAUAUGUAUUAUGAGUAUUCACCUAUAGCUUGAUAUCCUACGAGAGGAGGACAUUUAUACGUGUUUCUCAAUGAUUUUCACUAAUCUAUCCAUGUUGUCAUACAGAGAUGCUAACAAACACGACAACAUGAUUAGUGCGCACAGUUCCGUCUCAAGAGACGUGCCCAGGGCGUGUCCCAGCCACUAGUGGUCUACAAUUACUAACUGAUAUGAGUUACCACUGUAUUUUUCUUCUUCUAAUUACAACAUGUAUACAUGUGUGUUAUAAGUUCAAUUAUAUAUGAAGAUGCCUAUAUGUUGUUUUUCAAUUUACUUCCACAAAACUACAAACUGGGUAUUCCUAUUUUACAGAUAUAAGUUGCAUCAUAAUAAUCUUCACAUUUUAGUUGCAUCAUAAUAAUCUUCUUCUUCUAGUCUUCUUCUUCUAACUUUCUUCUUUCCCAU